CCGAGGUUCUCUCCUCCUAUUGAUGAUCGAAUUUGGAAACCUCUACUAUACACAUGCUGCCAGAACAGCUUCUUAAAAGGUCAGUUAGAAUGUUACUAACUGCGCAAGUGGAGGCCACACCUGGGAAACAGCCUCAAUGGCGAACACAGCCUCGGUAGUAAUGCAUGCUAAAACAGUCUGAGGGGUGCCCACCGCCUGUGCAGUGGGAGCUGGGAAGGCAGUGUUCCACGAGGGUAUUUUCUCGUCCACAGCUCUGCAGUAAUGUGAAUCCGAUCAUCCAGCUUGCUGAGAUAUUAGGUGCUGUUUUGGCCCAUUUCGCUCUCUAAUGACAGCUAUGGGGCAUUUUGAUGGAGAACUUGCCACACGUGUCAGAUUUCAGACCUACAGUAUUUAAAUAGGUAAAUCCAUCUUCAGUUUGGAAGUUUUACCAAUACAACCUGAAGGCUGCCCUUGGCUAGAAGUUGGAGCUUCUGUAUUCCUGUACCACCCAAUACUUUGGAAGGGCAUGUGAUAUCGAGAAGUCACCUGCCAACAGCACUCUUCCCAUCCUCUGGCUCUGGGUCUUACAUUCUUUACACUCCAGCUUCCAUGAUGUUCCAAUGCUUGCAAGUUUCACUUACAUUGGUCCUAUGCCACCAACAAUGCCUCAUUUGGAUGUUUAAUAUGAAGAAUGCCCAUAGAAGCUCUUUUACCAGCACUUUGGCAAUGGUUCCUUCACUCCUACUCAAUAGAUGGCAUGUACUCUGCUGUGUACUGUGGCUGCCCUUGCAGUUUCAAUUGUCUGCUCCUGUCCAGAGAACAUGCUUCCUUCCAGGCAGUAUAUGAGGCAGUACCUUGUGCUGUUUGUGUUUAACAGUGUUUGUUAGGAUCAUUAUCAACAUAGUAAUGUUAUUAAUAGCAUUGUCAGAAACAACAGUAAUCACAAAGAUAACAGCCUGAACAACAGUGGCAUUUACAGUAUGACAUUAUAUUAAUUAUCACAAUGGAUAUGACAGGCUGUGCCUAGGAAUUCACACUAGUGGGUAGUUUAUGAUUUUAAACUCAAAAGGAAAACUAGAGGAUACAUAGUCCCAAAAUCCUUACCUCCAUGCCCCUCCCUCUUUUUCUGACAAAGGGAAACAAGAAAACAACUAAAAAGAAAAACAACAAAAC